rnacentral:rRNA from 1 species
CGUGUAGGCGGUAUGGUAAGUCAGAUGUGAAAGCCCUGGGCUUAACCUAGGAAGUGCAUUUGAUACUGCCAUUCUUGAGUAUGGGAGAGGAGAGUAGAAUUCCCAGUGUAGAGGUGAAAUUCGUAGAUAUUGGGAGGAAUACCCGUGGCGAAGGCGACUCUCUGGACCAAUACUGACGCUGAGACGCGAAAGCGUGGGGAGCAAACA